AUUAGGGCUAAGCCGGGGGGUCAGCAGUCCCCUGUUAUUGGAAACCUGCUAUAUGCCAAGGUUUAUGGUUGACAGGCGCGGUAAUAGUAAAAUACAGCGUUGUUAUUUUUGCAAUGAAAGCCAGACCCAAAGAAGUCAACUGCUGGUGAACCCGCUAGAUCCGGAAGGAAGCAACGGUAGCCUGUUUUUGAUUUGCUUUGGGCCACCUGGCCAAGCAAAGUAACAAUUAAACUGUGUUUUAUUGUUAUUGCCACUGUCUUCCGCCCUAAG
rnacentral:SRP_RNA from 1 species